GAUGAACGCUGGCGGCGUGCCUAAUACAUGCAAGUCGAGCGAACGGACGAGAAGCUUGCUUCUCUGAUGUUAGCGGCGGACGGGUGAGUAACACGUGGAUAACCUACCUAUAAGACUGGGAUAACUUCGGGAAACCGGAGCUAAUACCGGAUAAUAUAUUGAACCGCAUGGUUCAAAAGUGAAAGACGGUCUUGCUGUCACUUAUAGAUGGAUCCGCGCUGCAUUAGCUAGUUGGUAAGGUAACGGCUUACCAAGGCAACGAUGCGUAGCCGACCUGAGAGGGUGAUCGGCCACACUGGAACUGAGACACGGUCCAGACUCCUACGGGAGGCAGCAGUAGGGAAUCUUCCGCAAUGGGCGAAAGCCUGACGGAGCAACGCCGCGUGAGUGAUGAAGGUCUUCGGAUCGUAAAACUCUGUUAUUAGGGAAGAACAUAUGUGUAAGUAACUGUGCACAUCUUGACGGUACCUAAUCAGAAAGCCACGGCUAACUACGUG
rnacentral:rRNA from 1 species